GACGAACGCUGGCGGCGCGCCUAACACAUGCAAGUCGAACGGAGUCAAGAGGAGCUUGCUUUUCUUGACUUAGUGGCGAACGGGUGAGUAACGCGUGAGUAACCUGCCCUGGAGUGGGGGACAACAGUUGGAAACGACUGCUAAUACCGCAUAAGCCCACGAUCCGGCAUCGGAUUGAGGGAAAAGGAUUUAUUCGCUUCAGGAUGGACUCGCGUCCAAUUAGCUAGUUGGUGAGGUAACGGCCCACCAAGGCGACGAUUGGUAGCCGGACUGAGAGGUUGAACGGCCACAUUGGGACUGAGACACGGCCCAGACUCCUACGGGAGGCAGCAGUGGGGGAUAUUGCACAAUGGGGGAAACCCUGAUGCAGCGACGCCGCGUGGAGGAAGAAGGUUUUCGGAUUGUAAACUCCUGUCGUUAGGGACGAUAAUGACG
rnacentral:rRNA from 1 species